rfam:Patagioenas fasciata monilis isolate BTP2013 Sc31e1R_1, whole genome shotgun sequence.
CAUCACCCCUCACUACUACUGUUUGGAUGGUUUAGUGAGGUCCUCAGAUCGACCCUGGUGGGUUGGCCUUGGCCCUGCUGGAGUGUCAAGAAGAGGGUCGAACUUGACUGUCUAGAGGAAGUAAAAGUCAUAACAAGGUAUCCUUAGGUGAACCUGUGGAAG